rnacentral:rRNA from 1 species
GAACGCUGAAGGAAGGAGCUUGCUCUUUCUGGAUGAGUUGCGAACGGGUGAGUAACGCGUAGGUAACCUGCCUGGUAGCGGGGGAUAACUAUUGGAAACGAUAGCUAAUACCGCAUAACAGUAGAUGUUGCAUGAUAUCUGCUUGAAAGGGGCAAUUGCUCCACUACCAGAUGGACCUGCGUUGUAUUAGCUAGUUGGUGAGGUAACGGCUCACCAAGGCGACGAUACAUAGCCGACCUGAGAGGGUGAUCGGCCACACUGGGACUGAGACACGGCCCAGACUCCUACGGGAGGCAGCAGUAGGGAAUCUUCGGCAAUGGACGGAAGUCUGACCGAGCAACGCCGCGUGAGUGAAGAAGGUUUUCGGAUCGUAAAGCUCUGUUGUAAGAGAAGAACGAGUGUGAGAGUGGAAAGUUCACACUGUGACGGUAUCUUACCAGAAAGGGACGGCUAACUACGUGCCAGCAGCCGCGGUAAUACGUAGGUCCCGAGCGUUAUCCGGAUUUAUUGGGCGUAAAGCGAGCGCAGGCGGUUAGAUAAGUCUGAAGUUAAAGGCUGUGGCUUAACCAUAGUACGCUUUGGAAACUGUUUAACUUGAGUGCAAGAGGGGAGAGUGGAAUUCCAUGUGUAGCGGUGAAAUGCGUAGAUGUACGGA